UUCGGUUGAUCCUGCCGGACCUGACUGCUAUCGGAUUGAUACUAAGCCAUGCGAGUCUUUGUAGCAAUACAAGGCAGACGGCUCAGUAACACGUAGUCAAUCUACCCUAUGGACGGGGAUAACCUCGGGAAACUGAGAAUAAUACCCGAUAGAUCAUUAUGCCUGGAAUGGUUUAUGGUCGAAAUGAUUUAUCGCCGUAGGAUGGGACUGCGGUCUAUCAGCUUGUUGGUGAGGUAAUGGCCCACCAAGGCUAUAACAGAUACGGGCUCUGAGAGGAGAAGCCCGGAGAUGGGUACUGAGACACGGACCCAGGCCCUAUGGGGCGCAGCAGGCGAGAAAACUUUGCAAUGUGCGAAAGCACGACAAGGUUAAUCCGAGUGUUUUCUGCUAAAGAAAUCUUUUGUCAGUCCUAAAAACACUGAUGAAUAAGGGGUGGGCAAGUUCUGGUGUCAGCCGCCGCGGUAAAACCAGCACCUCAAGUGGUCAGGAGGAUUAUUGGGCCUAAAGCAUCCGUAGCCGGCCGUGUAAGUUUUCGGUUAAAUCUAUACGCUCAACGUAUAGGCUGCCGGGAAUACUGCACAGCUAGGGAGUGGGAGAGGUAGACGGUACUCGGUAGGAAGGGGUAAAAUCCUUUGAUCUAUUGAUGACCACCUGUGGCGAAGGCGGUCUACUAGAACACGUCCGACGGUGAGGGAUGAAAGCUGGGGGAGCAAACCGGAUUAGAUACCCGGGUAGUCCCAGCUGUAAACAAUGCAAACUCAGUGAUGCACUGGCUUGUGGCCAGUGCAGUGCCGCAGGAAGCCGUUAAGUUUGCCGCCUGGGAAGUACGUACGCAAGUAUGAAACUUAAAGGAAUUGGCGGGGGAGCACCACAAGGGGUGAAGCCUGCGGUUCAAUUGGAGUCAACGCCGGAA
rnacentral:rRNA from 1 species